rnacentral:misc_RNA from 1 species
UGUAGGAGUGAGCCUGCUCGCGAUGACGGAGUGUCAUUCAACAUAGAUGUUGAAUGUUAGACCGCUAUCGCGAGCAGGCUCACUCCCACA